UAGGGAAUAUUCCGCAAUGGGCGAAAGCCUGACGGAGCAACGCCGCGUGAGUGAAGAAGGUUUUCGGAUCGUAAAGCUCUGUCAACAGGGACGAAACAAGACGGUACCUGAGAAGGAAGCCACGGCAAACUACGUGCCAGCAGCCGCGGUAAUACGUAGGUGGCAAGCGUUGUCCGGAAUAACUGGGCGUAAAGCGCAUGUAGACGGCAUGAUAAGCCAAAUGUGAAAUGUAGGGGCUCAACCCCUGCACUGCGAUUGGAACUGUCAAGCUUGAGUGCAGGAGAGGCAAAUGGAAUUCCCAGUGUAGCAGUGAAAUGCGUAGAGAUUGGGAGGAACACCAGUGGCGAAGGCGAUUUGCUGGACUGCAACUGACGUUGAGAUGCGAAAGCCAGGGGAGCAAACGGG
rnacentral:rRNA from 1 species